AGAACUUAAGCGCCAGUAAACGGCGGUGGUAACUAUAACCAUCCUAAGGUAGCGAAAUUCCUUGUCGGGUAAGUUCCGACCUGCACGAAUGGCGUAACGACUUCUCGACUGUCUCAACCAUAGGCCCGGUGAAAUUGCAUUACGGGUAAAGAUGCUCGUUUCGCGCAGCAGGACGGAAAGACCCCGGGACCUUUACUACAGUUUGAUAUUGGUGUUCGGUUCGGCUUGUGUAGGAUAGGUGGGAGACUGUGAAGCAUGCACGCCAGUGUGUGUGGAGUCGUCGUUGAAAUACCACUCUGGUCGUGCUGGAUGUCUAACCUGGGUCCGUGAUCCGGAUCAGGGACAGUGUCUGAUGGGUAGUUUAACUGGGGCGGUUGCCUCCUAAAGAGUAACGGAGGCGCCCAAAGGUUCCCUCAGCCUGGUUGGUAAUCAGGUGUUGAGUGUAAGUGCACAAGGGAGCUUGACUGUGAGACCGACGGGUCGAGCAGGGACGAAAGUCGGGACUAGUGAUCCGGCGGUGGCUUGUGGAAGCGCCGUCGCUCAACGGAUAAAAGGUACCCCGGGGAUAAC
rnacentral:rRNA from 1 species